rnacentral:lncRNA from 1 species
AUAAAACAACAAUUGAAAACUUACAUAUACAACGGUAUAUUGCUGGGUCUUCCAAGUGCUCCACGAAACCUCUUUCUAAAUUAUUAACAUCUAUUUUAUCAGCAAUUAAAGACGGGCUUCAAAGUUAUUGUGAAACUGCCUAUUCUAGAGGUGGCUUGAAUCAGAUGUGGAUACUUAAAAAUUCCAAAGAUCUUUUAGAGUACAUACAAUCUAACUCUCUUUC